rnacentral:rRNA from 1 species
UACGUAGGUGGCAAGCGUUGUCCGGAUUUAUUGGGCGUAAAGCGCGCGCAGGCGGUUCGUUAAGUCCGAGGUGAAAUCUCCCGGCUCAACUGGGAGGGGUCUUCGGAUACUGGCGGACUUGAGGAGAGCAGAGGUGAGCGGAAUUCUCGGUGUAGUGGUGAAAUGCGUAGAUAUCGAGAGGAACACCAGUGGCGAAGGCGGCUCACUGGGCUCCACCUGACGCUGAGGCGCGAAAGCGUGGGGAGCAAACAGGAUUAGAUACCCC